AACGCUAGCUACAGGCUUAACACAUGCAAGUCGAGGGGCAGCAUCAUCAAAGCUUGCUUUGAUGGAUGGCGACCGGCGCACGGGUGAGUAACACGUAUCCAACCUGCCGACAACACUGGGAUAGCCUUUCGAAAGAAAGAUUAAUACCGGAUGGCAUAGUUUUCCCGCAUGGGAUAAUUAUUAAAGAAUUUCGGUUGUCGAUGGGGAUGCGUUCCAUUAGGCAGUUGGCGGGGUAACGGCCCACCAAACCAACGAUGGAUAGGGGUUCUGAGAGGAAGGUCCCCCACAUUGGAACUGAGACACGGUCCAAACUCCUACGGGAGGCAGCAGUGAGGAAUAUUGGUCAAUGGACGAGAGUCUGAACCAGCCAAGUAGCGUGAAGGAUGACUGCCCUAUGGGUUGUAAACUUCUUUUAUACGAGAAUAAAGUUAGCCACGUGUGGCUUUUUGUGUGUACCGUAUGGAUAAGGAUCGGCUAACUCCGUGCCAGCAGCCGCGGUAAUACGGAGGAUCCGAGCGUUAUCCGGAUUUAUUGGGUUUAAAGGGAGCGUAGGCGGGUUGUUAAGUCAGUUGUGAAAGUUUGCGGCUCAACCGUAAAAUUGCAGUUGAUACUGGCGACCUUGAGUGCAACAGAGGUAGGCGGAAUUCGUGGUGUAGCGGUGAAAUGCUUAGAUAUCACGAAGAACUCCGAUUG
rnacentral:rRNA from 1 species